CGCCGGACUGCGCACACCUUUCCCAGACCCUGUAAACUAUCCAUUCACUUUGAUUCACUUCAGGACUCUAACUCUCUGAGCCUUGGACUCCAUCCACCAACAGUACACCAAGGGUAGCAGGUACUGCCAGCCCCCACAGUAAGUAGGCUACAUUUGAUCCAUAUUUUGGCUAACCAAUCAGAUAAGCAGUAUCAUUUUGAUCCAUAUUUUGGCUAACCAAUCAGAUAAGCAGUAUCUUUUUUUUUUCACUCCCUGUGUUAAAACAUCAAACCCAGAAUGUCUGUUUAAUGGAUCCAUAUUUAUCAAUUCAAUCUGACUUGGCUUUGUUCUUUCUGCCUUUAUUUCGUGCCCUUAAAUUCCAUCCCUGUACAUAUUUGCCCAGACUUUGCUUUAUGAGUUAAUAAACUCAGGAAGUUCUUUAGGAGCAGUCAUCUCCUCAUGAGACACACUGUAUACCUCACGAGACUUGAAUUCGACUGUAGGUCUCCAGGAAAAAUGCGCUCUCAUGACAAGAACUGUACUAACUGAGCCAUCCAGCAUCAUGUGAUUAAAGAAGCAAAAUUAGGGUCGGUUGAGAGAAGGGGGUCACUCAGAGCCAAGUCAACUCUUGAUACAGCAUGCGCCUGAAUCCCAGAGUAACUCCAGAGGAGCUGGCCUAGAUGUCAAAAUGAAGUAAAGGGCGGUGGACAGCUUAGUGGGUAAGGCACCUGUGUGUACGUGUGAGGAGUGGACUUCGGCCACCUGAAAUCCCAGCACAAGAGGCAGCUGAAUGACGGUGCGACAGGCUGAGACUGACUGGAACUGGCAAGCUCUGGAUUCAGCAAGACCAUGCUUCAGUAACUAAAGUGAGGAUUGACAGAGGAAGACGACAGAGCGAGCCCUGGCCUCCACGCCCACUCCCAGGAGAGCCGAGGCAGAAGGCACCCACUGUGAAACAGCACACUGUAAGCCGAGAAGGAGCUACUGCGCACCAGAGUCCAGCCUUCCAACACAGGCACACCGACCACGUCAGACACCAGGACAUGGUCAUCCAUGGGAAAGCCAAACCUUGAUCUCAGAACAAACAUCAAACGGAGCAAGACAUUUAAGACUUCUGUAGCCCUAACAGAGAGGAAGCCAAACCCAGCUAACCAACAGCUUCAUAAACCUCAACCUAUGAUAGAGGAGUUACUAGAAUGUUUACUAAAGAUUAUUAAAGGCGUCACCAAAUCCCAUGUAUCAGCAGAGCAGACUUUUGAUAUGUGCAGAGACUCCACGAAAUGGAAACUGAAGCCAGACUCCAUUCCCGAGUCUGUGAGAAGAGAGAGGGAAAGCCCUGGCUACAGCAAUGGUAGACUUUCAGACAGCCAAGCAUACUUACCUUGUUUUUAACUCUUUUCCAUUGCCAGGAAUCUCCAAGGGAAAUGACCAGGUACAUGUUCCUUGAAGGAGAUGCAGAGACUCAGCGCAUGGUGCUGAUGACGCGGCAGCAGCUUUGUACAGCUUCUCAGCAAGUCACCCCACGGAUGGGGAGGUUGUUCAGGGAAAGGACACAACACACAUUUAGGAACACAUGGGACCAAGGUCCUCACAGCCACCUUCUGAGGAACCUACCACUGUUGAAAACAGUUGGCAUACACAAAAACAGCCUGUCCCAAGUCACUGACCAGUGAGAGGCAGAACCUGGAUUGGUCUCUGUUCUUAACCACACCUUAGUUUGAAUGAACUAAAAACGUGGUUAAAAAGACCUUAGUCUCCCCCCAUUUACAAGCCUAUGAAUCCUGGCACCUAAGCCCGGUGGUACAAUGUACCAGUCUGGUGCUGGCUACCCACUUCCUUCCAGUACAGGAGAAUGAAUCAAGGGAGACCAAGUGUAAUGUUCUUGUCAGUUUUUAUUAUUUCCCAUUCUAAAGACAAGCACAUUUACAGCAUACAUGGCUUUAAGUGAGCUAAGAAUAUAUAAAACAGUAACUAUAUGUUCAUAUAUAUUAAUACUGUCCCAAACAAAUAAAUACAAGUAUUUAAAUGCACUAAGCUUGGCAAGUACAAGUGUGUGUGUGUGUGGGGGGGGGG